UGUGAGACGUUUCGGUUACAGCAUUGUUACCAUCGGACAAAAGUAUGCUGUUACUGAAACAUCACACA